rnacentral:misc_RNA from 1 species
AACGCACCUUGCGCUCCGUGGUAUUCCGCGGAGCAUGCCUGUUUGAGUGUCGCACCUCUCUCAAUCGACCGACUCGCCUCUACGCUCGUCGGUCGGCUUGGAUCGUGGCCUCUGUCCCUCGCUUUGCGCGUCAGGGAAGGCCGGAAUAGACGAGCGCUUUCUAACCUUUGGGCGCGCGGCUUGACCGGAUCGAUUGUACGCACCUUCGACGCCGGGACGCGCGCCCCUGCCCCGAGUUCACGCUCGCGUUAGACGCUUCGAACUCACGCCCCUGUGAUCUUCGACCUCAAAUCAGGUAGGACGACCCGCUGAACUUAA